CCAACAGGGAUUGCUCUAGUAACGGCGAGUGAAGCAGCAAUAGCUCAAAUUUGAAAUCUGGCGUCCUCGACGUCCGAGUUGUAAUUUGUAGAGGAUGCUUCUGAGUGGCCACCGACCUAAGUUCCUUGGAACAGGACGUCAUAGAGGGUGAGAAUCCCGUAUGCGGUCGGAAAGGCGCUCUAUACGUAGCUCCUUCGACGAGUCGAGUUGUUUGGGAAUGCAGCUCUAAAUGGGAGGUAAAUUUCUUCUAAAGCUAAAUAUUGGCCAGAGACCGAUAGCGCACAAGUAGAGUGAUCGAAAGAUGAAAAGCACUUUGGAAAGAGAGUUAAAAGCACGUGAAAAUUGUUAAAAGGGAAGGGAUU
rnacentral:rRNA from 1 species